rnacentral:rRNA from 1 species
UGACCGCUGGCGGCGUGCCUACUACAUGCAAGUCGAGCGACCAGACGAGGAGCUUGCUCCUCUGACGUUAGCGGCGGACGGGUGAGUAACACGUGGAUAACCUACCUAUAAGACUGGGAUAACUUCGGGAAACCGGAGCUAAUACCGGAUAAUAUAUUGAACCGCAUGGUUCAAUAGUGAAAGACGGUUUUGCUGUCACUUAUAGAUGGAUCCGCGCCGCAUUAGCUAGUUGGUAAGGUAACGGCUUACCAAGGCGACGAUGCGUAGCCGACCUGAGAGGGUGAUCGGCCACACUGGAACUGAGACACGGUCCAGACUCCUACGGGAGGCAGCAGUAGGGAAUCUUCCGCAAUGGGCGAAAGCCUGACGGAGCAACGCCGCGUGAGUGAUGAAGGUCUUCGGAUCGUAAAACUCUGUUAUUAGGGAAGAACAAAUGUGUAAGUAACUAUGCACGUCUUGACGGUACCUAAUCAGAAAGCCACGGCUAACUACGUG